AAACGGGCAACAUGGCCCCUUUUCAUUCCAAACUUUGAAGUAAGAUCUACUGUACUUAAGUUUAGAAGCUCAGUAAGGGAAUUCCCUGACUCCUCAAACUUAUCCGCGUAUUGCAUCAGAGCUCGAUCAUGCAGGAAAACACAAGAAUCACUCAGCUGUCAACACAGAUGAUAUUCUCGAGAUAUAUACAAGAAGACUGAAUUUAGUAUAAGAACCUUUUGCCGUUGAGUCAUGUUCAACUCAUUCAUAUCAUCUACAUUCAUAAUCUUCAAUGUUGGUACAUCAUCCCACCCUUCCUCAAGCAGCAUUGAGACUAGUCCCUGCAGACAUCCAUUUCCAACAAAGUCCUCGAUCGCGAAAGAAGCCAUCUUCUUCUCAAACAGAGAAUAAACUAGAGAAACAAAAAAUCCUGUGAUGCAAUCAAUGAAUGUACACUUUUAACAUACAUAUAUCCACACAAAUUUGAAAUGCAUUCACUUAGACAAUGUCUAUGGUUCUAAUUAACUCCUGUAGAAUUGUAAAGUACAGUCUUAAUAGUGAUUGAUGAACUACUUCACUCGUAAGUUCUCUAAAAGAAAAUUUUUGAAUUUUGUGGUGUUAAAUCGAAAGAUAAUGUUUGAAUGUUAUUGAAAUCUCUUUUUUAGUAGUUUAAUCA